GAGGACCAUGGCUCAGUGAUAGAGAACAUGCUUUUCAAGCAAAGGGUCCCAGGUUCAAUCCCUGAUGUCUUCU